GUCGCAUACCUGUUCUCUCACUAUCGAACUCUCACAAUCUCGUCAUCUCUCUCAUUGAUGAUUACCUAAUUGCAGAAUCAAGGCUCACUGAUAAACGGAAAUUACAUGAAUUGAAGCUCUCUCGGCCCAAAUCGAAGCUCUCCGACUGAAAACGCAAACAGGAUAGCAAAGGCUUUGAACAGUUGUAGUGCUAGCACUGGUGACAUUAUCAGUACCACAUUGAGGCUCAAACAAGAGCUUGAAACUAUAAUACACAAACACAAGAGAUUGUGACAUGUUUCUUAUGUGAUUAUCAGCUCUCCCCUGAAGAGGUUUGAAUUAUUGUUUGAUGUUUUACCAUCGGCACGUGGCUUUGUGAAUCAAAUAACUGAAUUAUAUUCUUUCUUAAACUUAAUUUUUGAUCAUCGGUAGAUAAAUGCACUUAGAGAUGAAGAUUUGAAUGAAAAACGUUUUCAAAGUUUUGAGAUAGUAGCUUAAUUGGUUUCACAUGUGGCUCACUUUAAGGCUAUAUGCUAACAAGUGUCUUGCUGUAGGGUGCUUCAAUUUGUUGAAGCUUUGAUCCUAAUAACUUGUUCUCUGUGUUUGAAAUUGAUAAGGGUUACAUAUUUACUUGAUUGCUUAUGACUUUUAUGUUUUUGUUGUUAAAUUAUGUUUUAAAGGGAUGAAGAUUUGAACCAUUUUCUGCACUGAUUUACUUUAUCUAAGCUCGGUAAGAUUAUGAGUUGAACACUAAUAUGUAUAUCAUCGUGUAUAUCAUGGAAUCACCGGUUUGUUGGUGAAUUGGUUUUCAAUGGCCAAAUUAGACUUUCUUUGUUAGUUAUGAGAUUCACUACCAAGAUGACUGCAAUAUCUGUAUUAGAUGCAAUCUGUUGAAUGGUCUUUGAAGGAACCAAAUGCUAUGGGCUUAUCAACUUUAGGGAAGGAUGGAAAACACUCAUCACGGAUAGUAUUGCUAAAAGGCUUCGACAAGGAUGCAUUUGUGUGGUCAGUAAUAA